AUGAUCCUUGCGGGCCCCUUCCAACUGGGGCUACUUUGCGGUUCUCCGGUUCAGCUAGCAGGCAGCUCCCUGGGUCAAGGCGCAGCGAGCUGUGCCAAGCAUUCCCUGAGAGAACCACACCGGGCCGAGGGGAGCAGGGGUUUUUACGGGGUCCCUAGCGCCAGCCCGGCCUCGGGACCCCGACCCAGCCCGGCGGCCCGCCGGCGCGGCCCCUCAGCGCCACCUCAGCCCCCCGCCGGCCCCCGGCAGCUCGGAGGGGGGCUCCCCGCCGGUCCUCCCGGGCUGCCCCCGCCCCGCUGCAAUGCCCCGAGCCUCCGGAGCGGGGAGGCAGCGCCGCCAGCGCCCCGCCCGCCGCCACCGCCGCUGUGCCGGGGCAGGCGCCGAGCAGGUGGCCGCGGGCAGCGGCAUGUGAGCGGCCCCCGGCUGCUCCCCGCUCCCCCUCCGCAGCCAGGCGGCCGCCGGGCCCCCUCGCCUUGCCGUGUCCCCGUCCCCCCGUCGCCGGGCCGGCCGGGGGCUGAGCGCCGCGCCCCGCCGGGGGGCGGCCGUGGCGGAGGGCGGAGAGGAGGAGGAGGAGGGGGAGGAAGGCUGCGAGGGGCCGGAGGGACGCGGGAGNNNNNNNNNNNNNNNNNNNNCGGAGGGACGCGGGGCCCCGGCGCGGUGCCGGCUCUGCCCCGGGGGCCGAGGCGCCGAGCGCGGCCGGCCGGCUGCGGGCCGGGCGCGGGGGCCGCUGGAAAUCCAGCCCCAGGCUUCCCGGCCCUCCAGGCCCCGCGGGGACGGCGGCCGGGGGCAGCCCCCCGGAGGGGCCCGGGGCGGCCGGAGCGGCUCCGCGGGUGCGUGAGGCCCCGGCCUGCCGAGGGGCCGGUCCCGGCUCCCGCUUGUGCCGGCCUCCCUCAGCCCCAUGUUGAAAUCUCCGGCGGUGCGAGCACGCUCGGCUUGCCUUCCGCAGCAGAUCUGCUGGGGCUUCUAUCCCCCGUUUUUAAAAAUCCUUCUUCUUUUUCUUGCACGUUGUUGUUGCAAACUUCUCAGUCAGCCGGUUUGUUGGGACGGGAAACUUAA
rnacentral:lncRNA from 1 species